rnacentral:tRNA from 1 species
CCUGGUGUCUCAGAUGGUAAAGAAUUUGUCUGCAAUGCAGGAGACCCAGGUUCAAUCCCUGGGUCAGGA